ACGGGGUGCAGCAGGCGCGAAAACUUCACACUGUGCGAAAGCGCGAUGAGGGAAUCCCAAGUGCUUGCUCGUAAGAGUAAACUGUUUCUUUGUUUAAAACGCAGAGAGAGUAAGGGCUGGGUAAGACGGGUGCCAGCCGCCGCGGUAAUACCUGCAGCUCAAGUGGUGAUCAUUAUUAUUGGGCCUAAAACGUCCGUAGCCGGUUUAGUAAAUGCCUGGGUAAAUCGUGUAGCUUAACUAUACGACUUCCGGGUAGACUGCUAAACUUGAGACCGGGAGAGGCUAGAGGUACUCCUGGGGCAGAGGUGAAAUUCUGUAAUCCUAGGGGGACCACCAGUGGCGAAGGCGUCUAGCUAGAACGGGUCUGACGGUGAGGGACGAAGCCCUGGGGCGCAAACCGGAUUAGAUACCCGGGUAGUCCAGGGUGUAAACGCUGCUUGCUUGAUGUUAGUUGGGCUCCGAGCCCAACUAGUGUCGGAGAGAAGUUGUUAAGCAAGCUGCCUGGGAAGUACGGUCGCAAGGCUGAAACUUAAAGGAAUUGGCGGGGGAGCACAGCAACGGGUGGAGCGUGCGGUUUAAUUGGAUUCAACGCCGGAAAACUCACCGGAGGCGACGGUUACAUGAAGGCCAGGCUGAUGACCUUGCCUGAUUUUCCGAGAGGUGGUGCAUGGCCGCCGUCAGUUCGUACCGUAAGGCGUUCUGUUAAGUCAGACAACGAACGAGACCCUCAUCUUUAAUUGCUACUAGUA
rnacentral:rRNA from 1 species